GGAGGGUUGCCAGAGUGGUUAAUGGAGCAAUUUGCUAAAUUGCCGGCGAGAAAUCGUCGCGUGGGUUCAAAUCCCACACUCUCCG
rnacentral:tRNA from 1 species